CCUACGGGCGGCAGCAGUAGGGAAUUUUCGGCAAUGGGGGGAACCCUGACCGAGCAACGCCGCGUGAACGAAGAAGUUAUUCGUAAUGUAAAGUUCUUUUAACAGGGAAGAAAGAUAAAUUUGACGGUACCUGAAGAAUAAGCUCCGGCUAACUAGGUGCCAGCAGCCGCGGUAAUACGUAGGGAGCGAGCGUUAACCGGAAUUAUGGGGCGAAAGGGGUGCGUGGAGGUCAUAGUAAGUAUUGUGUAAAAAUGCUGGGCUAAAGCCAGUAGGGCAAAAGAUACUGCAAAGCUAGAGUAUGAGAGAGGCUAGUGGAAUGACAGGUGUAGCGGUAAAAUGCGUAGAUAUAUGUAAGAACACCAGUGGCGAAGGCGACUUGCUGGGUCGAUACUGACAUUGAGGCACGAAAGCGUGGGGAGCAAACAGGAUUAGAUACCCGGGUAGUC
rnacentral:rRNA from 1 species